AUACCUUACCUGGUGCCGGAGACUCCGUGAUCAGGAAGGCGGAGACCCCAGGAGGAGGCCCUUCCAUUGCACUUCGGAAGGGCUGAGACCUGCCACUCUCCCAAACUAGGAAAGAUUGGGCAUAUAAUUUUUGGCAGACAGAAAGAGAAAUAUUAUGCCUCUGC
rnacentral:snRNA from 1 species